UCGUGUAACUUUCCCCAGGUUUCAUCAUUAAAUAUCACUCAUCUGUCAUUCACGCUCGGUAGUCACCUGCCUUUACCUCUGACCUCUAUAUAAACUUAUAUUCAGAUAGGUUUCCUCUACCUGAAAAUCAGAACAAUGCUCACAGAGGAUGCUGUGAUGCUGAAGAAGCCUAAGGUAAGCCUCAAUUUCAGAUAUAAACAUGCCUCACAGACCUAGGAAUGCAGGCACUCAGGCUAGUGUGAUGGCUAGUUUUGGUUAUCGAUUUGACUGCACCUGGAGUUAACUAAAACCCAAAUGGCCGGGCACACCUGUGAGGGGCUGUUUUGUUUUGGUUUUGGUUUUUUCGAGACAGGGUUACUCUGUGUUGUUUUGGUAUCUGUUCUGGAUCUCACUCUGAAGUCCAGGCUGGCCGCGAACUCACAGAGAUCCGCCUGGCUCUGCCUCCCAAGUGCUGAGAUUAAAGGUGUGCACCACCACCACCCAGGUAAGGACUGUUCUUAACUGAAUCAUUUGAAGUGGGAAGACCCACUUCUAACCCAGAUCUGUGAGGUGGGAAGAUCCACCUUUCAUCAGACGUUUUAAACUGGGAAGACCCACCUUUAAUCUGAGCCACACCUUCUGCUGGCAGCCCAUAACAAGGUCAUGGAAGAAGGAAGGUUGCUCUCUUUGACCUUUGCUCUAGCUUUCACUAGCAAGCCCAUUUCAUUCACUGGAAUUAGAGCCUACUUUUUUGGGAUCCUGGCAUAUACUGAGGACCAGCUGAGACAUCCAGUGUGCUGGCUAGUAUUAUGUCAACUUGACACAAGCUAGAGUCAUCUGAAAGAGGGAACCUCAAUAGAAAAAAUGCCUCCAUAAGAUCCAACUGAAAGGCAUUUUCUUAAUUAGUGAUUGAGGGGGGAAGGCCUAGCCCCUGGUGGGUGGUGCCAUCCUUGGGCUGGUGGUUCUGGGGUUUAUAAGAAAGCAGGCUGAGCUGGGUGGUGGUGGCACACGCCUUUAAUCCCAGCACUUGGGAGGCAGAGACAGGCAGAUCUCUGUGAGUUCGAGGCCAGCCUGGUCUACAGACUGAGAUCCAGGACAGGCACCAAAACUACACAGAGAAACCCUGUCUCAAAAAACAAAAAACAACAAAAAAAAAGAGAGCAGGCUGAGUGAGUAAGCCACGAGGAGCCAGCCAGUAAGCAGAGCACCCUUCCAUGGCUUCUGCAUCAGCUCCUGCCACCAGGAUCCUGCCCUGCUUGAGAUCCUGCCCUCACUGCUUUUGAUGAUGAACUGCUAUAUGGAACUGUGGGUGAAAUAAACCCUCUCCUUCCCAAGUUACUUUUUUGGUCAUUGUAUUUUAUCACAGCAACAGUAACCCUAACUAAGACAAUCCAGCCUUGUGGAUGGAAAAACUACUGGAUUCUUAGACCUUCCGUUGGUACACAGCCCUUGUUGGACCAGCUGGACCACAUAGCCUUUCAUUUACUCUAGGGAACCCUCAUACACCGGGGGAGCCAAGGAAGACUGCCAGAGAUAAGUAAAGGAAAAUCGAAGGACAAGUAAGAUCAAGCAAAGCAGAGUGGGCUAAAAGAACAUGUCACAGAGAGAACCUGCUGUCCUCAGAGGUACCUGUAUGCAGGGCAGAUUGUGUGGGGAGCAGAGAGGGACUGUCAAGACCCAGAAUGCACCUGGUGGGACACCUAAGAGACAAAGAUGAAGCACUGGUCGAGUGGCCCAGUAAGAGGACAUUUUCUGUUGCUUCCUGAAGGUCAUGCAUGUAAAAAGGUCAAUGGGUGGACUGCAAGCAGAUCAGACAGAAGAGACCCGGCCUGGGUGGGCUGGGAUGCCAGAGAGGAAGGGAGGGCACAACCUUGGGAUAAAAAACAACAAGUGUUCCUUAUGCUUGAAAUAUUCAUUGCUGGGUUGUCUUCUAAGCAGGUUUUGACAAUUUGUGCACUCCUCAAGCAUGCAAAAUUGUCACUUUCUUAAAUUCUCAGUAACACUUGGUUACAGUAUAGACUGUCAAGUUUCACAUUUUAACAAACUGAAACUUGUGUUAUUUUUAACUCUGUUGACUGUUAGAGAAGUUUAAUAUCAGAUUCAAUAUUUCUGUCUAUUGCUCAUCUCUACUUCAACUUUUGUGAACUACUUUUCACCUCAUCUAUUUUCUGUUAGGAAUCCUCUCUUGGGUAAGAGUCAUUAGUACAUGAGUCAUUAGUAAAUAUAAGUGACCAUCCCUCA